rnacentral:lncRNA from 1 species
UAAGAAUCAUGUUGUAGCCUUUAUGUCUUCUGGCAUAUUUCUCACCCCUAUACCUUAAUGGGCUUCCAUUGACUAGACGAGGGUAGAACCCGACUAUCCUAUCUGGAUGUUGACGCCAUACCUGAAAACCCCGUUCAAUAUCAUCACAAGUCAUCAUAAUAUCAUCGUCAAGCUCAAGAACUCCACGAGUCUUUAUUAAUGGAUCCAGCUUAAAGCGAUUGUUCAGUGAGUUUUGUUUCUCCACUCUAAUCCUCACAGGAACUGCUGAAUCUAGAUCACUCAACUUCGGAGGCUCCCCUUUAUUCCACACAACAACAAUCUCUUUCACUGAAGAACACCUGGAGUAAUGCUUCACAUACAUUUUCAAAUUCCAGAGGCGAGCAUCGAAUGUCAUAGUUAACAUUGUGAACUGAGAGUAGUGACCUUUCCACAUGUAAGCUUCAUCUGCCCCAUUGCCUCCAUAGAUAAACUUAACCCCCGUGCACGUUAGUGCAACCCCAGCUACAAAUAUCACAGCCAGAACCAAUCUUCCAAUGCUGGUAUUGGGUUUUAUCUUGCCUUGGAGAUAUGAAGCUGAUCUAUUUAAGCGGCUACAAAACCGUCUGACCUUUGAACAUAGCAUACUUUCCCUUUCCCAGGUCAGCAAACUAUCACUUCUCUUCCCU